rnacentral:rRNA from 1 species
AUAUCGCGAGGUGCCAGCCGCCGCGGUAAUACGUAGGGGGCAAGCGUUGUCCGGAAUCAUUGGGCGUAAAGCGCGUGUAGGCGGCUUGGUAAGUCCGCUCUGAAAGCCCGGGGCUCAACCCCGGGAGGCGGGUGGAUACUGUCAAGCUCGAGUCCGGAAGAGGCGAGUGGAAUUCCUGGUGUAGCGGUGAAAUGCGCAGAUAUCAGGAGGAACACCAAUGGCGAAGGCAGCUCGCUGGGACGUGACUGACGCUGAGACGCGAAAGCGUGGGGAGCAAACAGGAUUAGAUACCCUGGUAGUCCACGCCGUAAACGAUGGGCACUAGGUGUGGGAGGUGUCGACUCCUCCCGUGCCGAAGCUAACGCAUUAAGUGCCCCGCCUGGGGAGUACGGCCGCAAGGCUAAAACUCAAAUGAAUUGGCGGG